GGAAGGAGAAGUACAGGAAAAAAGCAGAGUCUCUUAUUUGGAUAUAUUUCCUAAAGACUCUUCUGCAUUGGAUGGUCUUUGUGUUCUUUUAAAACAUGGAUUGCUGCUAAACUGUCCCGGGCCCAGUUUUAUCAGCCACAGCCAGGACCGGGUGAGCUACAGCUGCAGAGCCAGGGAGAUGCAGGACCUCGGCACACCAAAGUUCUCAAGGCUACAGACCCUGUAACGCUCUAGGGCCAGAGCCUCUCUGGAACAAGAACCUGAGAGAAGUUUAGAGGCAAGAAUCUAUCAGCAAACUGAAAUCCCAGCUAGGCAAUGAAGGACUGCUUCUGGAACGUUCCUUGUGGCUUUUUGCACUUGGUGAAAACACGUUUGCCAGGGCCAUGGUGACCGCAGGGAGGUCCCUUUGCCUUUCUCCUGCCCCUCUCCAGCCCGAGGCCGCUCCUCUGCUCGCUCUCUCCGAUCUCAUCCUGCAUAGAGCCUCUCCUCCCUUCCUCACCGGCUGCUGCCAAAGAAGGACGACGCAGAGAGUCCCGAGUUCAGAGCCCUCCCCGCUAUCCCUGGAGAGCCCUCCCUGCGCUCCACAGGGGGCUCGGACAUCCCAGAGAAAUUGUCUGCUGGGCUGCCUUCGGUUACCUCAGGAAGUCUCUCAAAAACGCCACUUCCCUCCCCUUGACAUUCCCUGGCAUGUUCCUACACAAACAGUUCUUGUGUCCCCGAUGCUGGACUUGCCUCUGUGGAUGUGUGAUGAGCUCUCGCUGCAGGGGACUGCCAGGCCUGAAUGGCUGUGAGUUGGUGUUCUUCUCCCUGGGGAAUCAGAAAUUAUUAUUAAUUAGACCA